AAUACUUGUCGGCAAAACCGUCGUGAGGCGGUGACGCAAAGCCAAGGAACUUUUUUAAACGACGAAUCGUCUUGAGGGAGACCACGAUAAGGCGAGCCUGCGUUUGAUAUAAAGAGUGCGCCCGGUUGCAAUA
rnacentral:ncRNA from 1 species